AACGCGAAGAACCUUACCUGGAUUUGACAUCCUCUGACAGCCCUAGAAGUAGGGUCUUGUAGCAAUACACAGAGAGACAGGUGCUGCAUGGCUGUCGUCAGCUCGUAUCGUGAGAUGUCGGGUUAAGUCCCUUAACGAGCGCAACCCUUAUCCCUAGUUGCCAUCAUUUAGUUGGGCACUCUAUGGAGACUGCCGGUGUUAAACCGGAGGAAGGCGGGGAUGACGUCAAGUCCUCAUGGCCUUUAUAUCCAGGGCCACACACGUGCUACAAUGGCCGGUACAAAGGGAUGCCAACGCGCGAGCGGGAGCUAAUCUCAUAAAGCCGGUCUCAGUUCGGAUUGAAGUCUGCAACUCGACUUCAUGAAGCUGGAAUCGCUAGUAAUCGCGGAUCAGAACGCCGCGGUGAAUACGUUCCCGGGCCUUGUACACACCGAGACGUA
rnacentral:rRNA from 1 species